rnacentral:rRNA from 1 species
UAGGGAAUAUUGCACAAUGGGCGAAAGCCUGAUGCAGCAACGCCGCGUGUGCGAUGAAGGUCUUCGGAUCGUAAAGCACUUUUCUGAGAGAUGAGAAAGGACAGUAUCUCAGGAAUAAGUCUCGGCUAACUACGUGCCAGCAGCCGCGGUAACACGUAGGAGGCGAGCGUUAUCCGGAUUCACUGGGCGUAAAGCGCGUGCAGGCGGUUUGGUAAGUUAGGCGUGAAAGCUCCCGGCUCAACUGGGAGAGGUCGUCUAAUACUACCAGACUAGAGAGCAGAAGAGGAAGAUGGAAUUCCCGGUGUAGUGGUGAAAUGCGUAGAUAUCGGGAGGAACACCAGUGGCGAAGGCGAUCUUCUGGUCUGUUUCUGACGCUCAGACGCGACAGCUAGGGUAGUAAACGGGAUUAGAGACCCCGGUAAUCCUAGCCGUAAACGAUGUGAACUUGGCGUUGGUGGCUUAAACACCAUCAGUGCCGAAGCAAACGCGAUAAGUUCACCGCCUGGGGACUACGGCCGCAAGGUUA